GCUACUCUGACUUCUUCAUCUUCUUCUGAUGACCAAAAUUCUGAAAUAGAGGUUCAACUCCGAUCCUCUUCUUCUCCGUCACCGGAAACCCCAUCCCCUUCCGCCGCGGUCAAAGUCCCUCCAGAGCUGAAACUCUACAGCUCCAACAAUGCCUCUCAGGAGAUUGGUGGAGGUGGAGCCGCCGAGCAUACUGAGAUACCUGAUCGGAGUGGCCAUCAUGAUGAUCGGAGUAGUCUUACCCGUCGGUUACAUGAUGUUCCGUAACAAGCGCGUUCCUUCCUCCUCUUCCUACUCCAAACAGACGAACAAAGUUUUGAUAUAGAGGUAGUGUGGGAUCAGAAAGAAGGACUCCGGAUUUUCAUUUUUUUUGGUGUUGAGAAGUGGAAAAGCAGGGCAGGCAUUGAUGGAUCACUACUUUAGAAAUGUAAAUUUAUUGAAAUUUCUAUCUGUUAUAUGGUUUCGUGUGGAAUUCUGAUUAGAUUUUGUACAAUAAUGUUCGACUCUGUAUUUUUACUGAUGGAUUUAGUUAUGCAGCUAGAUUCAUAUUGUUUAUCGUAUACAUGCUUCUUCUCUUG